AGGACGAACGCUGGCGGCGUGCUUAACACAUGCAAGUCGAGCGGAAAGGCCCUUCGGGGUACUCGAGCGGCGAACGGGUGAGUAACACGUGAGCAACCUGCCCUUAGCUCUGGGAUAGCUCCGGGAAACCGGAAUUAAUACCGGAUAUGACCUAGGCCGACAUCGGCCGUGGUGGAAAGUUUUUCGGCUAGGGAUGGACUCGCGGCCUAUCAGCUAGUUGGUGGGGUAAUGGCCUACCAAGGCGACGACGGGUAGCCGGCCUGAGAGGGCGACCGGCCACACUGGGACUGAGACACGGCCCAGACUCCUACGGGAGGCAGCAGUGGGGAAUAUUGCGCAAUGGGCGAAAGCCUGACGCAGCGACGCCGCGUGGGGGAUGAAGGCCUUCGGGUUGUAAACCCUUUCAGCAGGGACGAAGCGAAAGUGACGGUACCUGCAGAAGAAGCGCCGGCUAACUACGCGCCAGCAGCCGC
rnacentral:rRNA from 1 species